rnacentral:pre_miRNA from 1 species
GAUAAAUCACGGCUGUGUUUUAUGGCUUUUUAUUCCUAUGUGAGGGUAUGCAGUGUUGCGUAGGGGUGAAAGCCAUUGAAUAC